rnacentral:rRNA from 1 species
AACGAACGCUGGCGGCGCGUCUUAAGCAUGCAAGUCGGACGGUAAGGAAGGAGCUUGCUUCUGUAACUUAGUGGCGAACGGGUGAGUAACGCGUGAGGAGCCUGCCUUUCAGUGGGGGACAACAGUUGGAAACGACUGCUAAUACCGCAUAACAUAUUCGGGGGGCAUCCCCUGGAUAUCAAAGCUUUAUGUGCUGAAAGAUGGCCUCGCGUCUGAUUAGAUAGUUGGUGAGGUAACGGCUCACCAAGUCGACGAUCAGUAGCCGGACUGAGAGGUUGAACGGCCACAUUGGGACUGAGACACGGCCCAGACUCCUACGGGAGGCAGCAGUGGGGAAUAUUGCACAAUGGAGGAAACUCUGAUGCAGCGAUGCCGCGUGAGGGAAGAAGGUUUUCGGAUUGUAAACCUCUGUCUUCAGGGACGAUAAUGACGGUACCUGAGGAGGAAGCUCCGGCUAACUACGUG